rnacentral:rRNA from 1 species
AGUGAACGCUGGCGGUAGGCCUAAUACAUGCAAGUCGAACGGCAGCACAGUAAGAGCUUGCUCCUACGGUUGGCGAGUGGCGGACGGGUGAGGAAUACAUCGGAAUCUACUUUUUCGUGGGGGAUAACGUAGGGAAACUUACGCUAAUACCGCAUACGAUCUACGGGUGAAAGCAGGGGAUCUUCGCACCUUGCGCGAUUGAAUGAGCCGAUGUCGGAUUAGCUAGUUGGCGGGGUAAAGGCCCACCAAGGCGACGAUCCGUAGCUGGUCUGAGAGGAUGAUCAGCCACACUGGAACUGAGACACGGUCCAGACUCCUACGGGAGGCAGCAGUGGGGAAUAUUGGACAAUGGGCGCAAGCCUGAUCCAGCCAUACCGCGUGAGUGAAGAAGGCCUUCGGGUUGUAAAGCCCUUUUGUUAGGAAAGAAAAGCAGCAGGUUAAUACCCCGCUGUUCUGACGGUACCCAAAGAAUAAGCACCGGCUAACUUCGUG